rnacentral:snRNA from 1 species
GUGCUCACUUCGGCGGCACAUAUACUAAAACUGGAACCAUACAGAGAGGACUGGCAUGGCCCCUCCACAACGAUGAUACAUAAAUUUGUGACGCAUUCCAUAUUUUU